rnacentral:lncRNA from 1 species
GCAAGCAUGGUGAUAAUGUCUACUUGGCUUCUGGGGAGUCUUCAGGAAGCUUAUAAUCAUGACAGAAGACAAAAGGGGAGCACGCAUGUCACAAGAACUUCAGGACAAAAACCGGAAACUCAGGCUAAAAGCAGACCAAGUAUAUCGCAUCAACAACUGAUGUAAUUUGGAUCUGGGUUUUAUUCUUUAUGUGAGUUUGCUUAUUUCUAAUUUGACUAGUUUGUAUAUCUUCAAAUUGCACAUUUUUCUUGGUGAAUUAUAAACUUCAAGUUUUUGUUUCCUUGACCUAUGUGCUCCUGAAACUCCGUUUCAC